CAAUGGGGGCAACCCUGACCGAGCCACGCCGCGUGAGUGAAGAAGGUUUUCGGAUCGUAAAGCUCUGUUGUAAGUCAAGAACGAGUGUGAGAGUGGAAAGUUCACACUGUGACGGUAGCUUACCAGAAAGGGACGGCUAACUACGUGCCAGCAGCCGCGGUAAUACGUAGGUCCCGAGCGUUGUCCGGAUUUAUUGGGCGUAAAGCGAGCGCAGGCGGUUUGAUAAGUCUGAAGUUAAAGGCUGUGGCUCAACCAUAGUUCGCUUUGGAAACUGUCAAACUUGAGUGCAGAAGGGGAGAGUGGAAUUCCAUGUGUAGCGGUGAAAUGCGUAGAUAUAUGGAGGAACACCGGUGGCGAAAGCGGCUCUCUGGUCUGUAACUGACGCUGAGGCUCGAAAGCGUGGGGAGCGAACAGGAUUAGAUACCCUGGUAGUCCACGCCGUAAACGAUGAGUGCUAGGUGUUGGAUCCUUUCCGGGAUUCAGUGCCGCAGCUAACGCAUUAAGCACUCCGCCUGGGGAGUACGACCGCAAGGUUGAAACUCAAAGGAAUUGACGGGGGCCCGCACAAGCGGUGGAGCAUGUGGUUUAAUUCGAAGCAACGCGAAGAACCUU
rnacentral:rRNA from 1 species